GCCGACUCACCGACUGGGAUCCAAAUGUUGAAGAGGAUGGGGAGAUCCGUCAACGAUCCAUCCUCGGUAGAAAUGGCCGACGUCUUUUUUCACUCUCCAGUUGGUGGUCGUUCACCAAAAUCGGAGCUUGACUAUGCCCGAGACUGCAUCAGCACAGUUGGAGGCACCUGAGGAAUAGUCUGCCUGGAAGCAGACGGUUCUAGUUCGACCGUGACUGCAGAUUCGGCCUGAACCCUCACUGACAGAACUGCUGAUGGUUCUGGUGCGGCAUCUUCAUCUCUCGCCGUCUCGACUCAAGCCGACAGCAUUUCAACA
rnacentral:lncRNA from 1 species